rnacentral:rRNA from 1 species
UACGUAGGGGGCAAGCGUUGUCCGGAAUCAUUGGGCGUAAAGCGCGCGUAGGCGGCCCGGUAAGUCCGUUGUGAAAGUCAAAGGCUCAACCUUUGAACGCCGAUGGAUACUGCCGGGCUAGAGUCCGGAAGAGGCGAGUGGAAUUCCUGGUGUAGCGGUGGAAUGCGCAGAUAUCAGGAGGAACACCAAUAGCGAAGGCAGCUCGCUGGGACGGUACUGACGCUGAGGCGCGGAAGCGUGGGGAGCGAACAGGAUAGAUACCCGAGUA